GUGGCAGAAUGUCUUGGUUUGCCACUGUAAGUUGAAUGGGGUGAAUGUCCAUCACUGUUUUUUACUGUGCAUAAACAAAUGUGACCCGUAUGUUUGCAACUAGAAGUAUGGGCAGCAAAGCAAGAAAGUAAAAUUUAUUAGUUAGUCUCCCACAACAGAGCAUUAGGAUAGCUUUAAAAUAUCAGCAUGGCUAACAUAAUCAAUCCAGGACAUCCAGCAUGUUCAGUAUCUGGUGAUUUAUUUUGUAUAAACCCUGGACAUGAUCUGCUCAAUUAAAAUUUUGUUUCAGUAUUAUUAACACUGUAUUUCUUUAAUCAGCAGUUAGUAAGAAUGAAGUGGAGAGGCUCAUCAUACUUUAGUGCGGUGCCCUACUGAUUCCAGUACAAGGCCCAAACAUCCUGCACAAUACAUUUGAUAUCACUGAUAAUAUGAUCAUGGACAGUGAGUGAAAUGUAAAGAAUCAGUUAUUGAACCUUUUGACAAUGCUUUAACUCCUUCAUCUUUUAGUGUUUCGAGGAUUUCACAAAGAUAAUAACAGCUACAUCAGCGUUACAGAAUGAGUAGAAAGACUGUCAGUAAUUUUUACAUGAGACUCUAGAAGAAAAGAUCAAAGGUAAAAAAAUCUACCCAGCACAAAUCUCCCAUUCUAAAAGAUAUCUUUACUUAGAGCAUUAUGACCACAACAGCAAAUUGUCCUAUACAGAUUUUGAAAAAGCUGUACAAAAAGAAAAUCUUCUGCUGGAGGCAUCAGGACCUUGUCUUCCAGGUCCUGUGCAUGGGAGCAGAACAGAAUGACUUACCUGUUGAGUAUUGGAAGAUGCUGCAAGACAUAGAAACCAACAACUUCUCUGGCCACAUUCCUAUCAUGGACCAGCUAAAAGAUGCAACUGAGAAACUGCAAAGUGCUUUGUAUCAGUAAUGGAAAUGAAGAGAAACUGAACUUACUGUCAGCCUCUGACCUGUUGUGAAAGAGACUGGACAACAAUUGUAAAACAAGCGACUCCCUUCAGGGACUGGGUGGUUCAUUUGAUCUUUAUUUGCUUGGAAAUCAAAAAGAAUCAUUAUACAUUUUAUUGAUAGGUUUCCCCUCUGGGGACACUAGAGGGGUCAUUUAUCAGUCAUGGUGCAGGUGCAGAAAUUGUGCACCCUGUAUCGUGGGGGAGCAAGCACACCUGCACUUUCUGCAGAAAUACAGCACUCACUAUAUAACAGCAGUUUUUUUAUAUAAUUCAUUCUCUAAGUAACUUUACACAUACGUAACUGCGUCUGUUAUGGAUGCUUUUUAUUUGUGAGACAGAUUGCUGUUUAAAAUGUACAGAAUAUAACAGAAUGUACAGUAAUAUAAUGGUAUCCUUUUGUGUUCUCAUACUUUAAUAGAAAUAAAUAUUUUGUGUAUUUGU